GAGAAGUCAGGCCAGACUAAGCCAUA
rnacentral:lncRNA from 1 species